rnacentral:lncRNA from 1 species
GAUAAAGAGAGAGGAAUUAGACAGCCUUCUAGGGGACUAUGGUGUUAAACCGAAAGCCUUCCUAAGGAAACAUGGGUCACUGUUUCUGGUGUAUGGAUCAACUUUAUGUGGGUGUGUCGCCAGCUGGUGGCCAAAAAGUCUGUGAAAAUGGUGUACCUCAUCUGCUGUAUUAUUAACAAUUGUGUAUUGCAUUUGUAAGUUAUAUGUUGUGUUAAUAGUUAU